AGUGAACGCUGGCGGCGUGCUUAACACAUGCAAGUCGAACGAGAACGGAUUAUAGCUUGCUAUAAUUGUCAGCUAAGUGGCGCACGGGUGAGUAAUAUAUAGGUAAUGUGCCCUAGAGAAGAGGAUAACAGAUGGAAACGUCUGCUAAGACUCUAUAUGCCUUUAUGACAAAAGUCAGCAAGGGAAAUAUUUAUAGCUUUGGGAUCGGCCUGUACAGUAUCAGUUAGUUGGUGAGGUAAUGGCUCACCAAGACAAUGACGCUUAACUGGUUUGAGAGGAUGAUCAGUCACACUGGAACUGAGACACGGUCCAGACUCCUACGGGAGGCAGCAGUGGGGAAUAUUGCACAAUGGACGAAAGUCUGAUGCAGCAACGCCGCGUGGAGGAUGACACAUUUCGGUGCGUAAACUCCUUUUAUAUGGGAAGAUAAUGACGGUACCAUAUGAAUAAGCACCGGCUAACUCCGUG
rnacentral:rRNA from 1 species